GAAGGUGGCCUGUGAGGGUUGCUGGAGGUAUCAGAAGUGCGAAUGCUGACAUAAGUAACGAUAAAGCGGGUGAAAAGCCCGCUCGCCGGAAGACCAAGGGUUCCUGUCCAACGUUAAUCGGGGCAGGGUGAGUCGACCCCUAAGGCGAGGCCGAAAGGCGUAGUCGAUGGGAAACGGGUUAAUAUUCCCGUACUUGGUGUUACUGCGAAGGGGGGACGGAGAAGGCUAUGUUGGCCGGGCGACGGUUGUCCCGGUUUAAGCGUGUAGGUGUGUGUUCCAGGUAAAUCCGGUUCACUUUAACACUGAGGCGUGAUGACGAGGCACUACGGUGCUGAAGCAACAAAUGCCCUGCUUCCAGGAAAAGCCUCUAAGCAUCAGGUAACAUCAAAUCGUACCCCAAACCGACACAGGUGGUCAGGUAGAGAAUACCAAGGCGCUUGAGAGAACUCGGGUGAAGGAACUAGGCAAAAUGGUGCCGUAACUUCGGGAGAAGGCACGCUGACAUGUAGGUGAAGUGAUUUACUCAUGGAGCUGAAGUCAGUCGAAGAUACCAGCUGGCUGCAACUGUUUAUUAAAAACACAGCACUGUGCAAACACGAAAGUGGACGUAUACGGUGUGACGCCUGCCCGGUGCCGGAAGGUUAAUUGAUGGGGUCAGCGCAAGCGAAGCUCCUGAUCGAAGCCCCGGUAAACGGCGGCCGUAACUAUAACGGUCCUAAGGUAGCGAAAUUCCUUGUCGGGUAAGUUCCGACCUGCACGAAUGGCGUAAUGAUGGCCAGGCUGUCUCCACCCGAGACUCAGUGAAAUUGAACUCGCUGUGAAGAUGCAGUGUACCCGCGGCAAGACGGAAAGACCCCGUGAACCUUUACUAUAGCUUGACACUGAACAUUGAGCCUUGAUGUGUAGGAUAGGUGGGAGGCUUUGAAGUGUGGACGCCAGUCUGCAUGGAGCCGACCUUGAAAUACCACCCUUUAAUGUUUGAUGUUCUAACGUGGACCCGUAAUCCGGGUUGCGGACAGUGUCUGGUGGGUAGUUUGACUGGGGCGGUCUCCUCCUAAAGAGUAACGGAGGAGCACGAAGGUUGGCUAAUCCUGGUCGGACAUCAGGAGGUUAGUGCAAUGGCAUAAGCCAGCUUGACUGCGAGCGUGACGGCGCGAGCAGGUGCGAAAGCAGGUCAUAGUGAUCCGGUGGUUCUGAAUGGAAGGGCCAUCGCUCAACGGAUAAAAGGUACUCCGGGGAUAACAGGCUGAUACCGCCCAAGAGUUCAUAUCGACGGCGGUGUUUGGCACCUCGAUGUCGGCUCAUCACAUCCUGGGGCUGAAGUAGGUCCCAAGGGUAUGGCUGUUCGCCAUUUAAAGUGGUACGCGAGCUGGGUUUAGAACGUCGUGAGACAGUUCGGUCCCUAUCUGCCGUGGGCGCUGGAGAACUGAGGGGGGCUGCUCCUAGUACGAGAGGACCGGAGUGGACGCAUCACUGGUGUUCGGGUUGUCAUGCCAAUGGCACUGCCCGGUAGCUAAAUGCGGAAGAGAUAAGUGCUGAAAGCAUCUAAGCACGAAACUUGCCCCGAGAUGAGUUCUCCCUGAGACUUUA
rnacentral:rRNA from 1 species